rnacentral:rRNA from 1 species
GACGAACGCUGGCGGCGUGCCUAAUACAUGCAAGUCGAACGCUGAAGGAGGAGCUUGCUUCUCUGGAUGAGUUGCGAACGGGUGAGUAACGCGUGGGUAACCUGCCUGGUAGCGGGGGAUAACUAUUGGAAACGAUAGCUAAUACCGCAUAAGAGUAGAUGUUGCAUGACAUUUGCUUAAAAGGUGCAAUUGCAUCACUACCAGAUGGACCUGCGUUGUAUUAGCUAGUUGGUGGGGUAACGGCUUACCAAGGCGACGAUACAUAGCCGACCUGAGAGGGUGAUCGGCCACACUGGGACUGAGACACGGCCCAGACUCCUACGGGAGGCAGCAGUAGGGAAUCUUCGGCAAUGGACGGAAGUCUGAACGAGCAACGCCGCGUGAGUGAAGAAGGUUUUCGGAUCGUAAAGCUCUGUUGUAAGAGAAGAACGAGUGUGAGAGUGGAAAGUUCACACUGUGACGGUAUCUUAACAGAAAGAGACGGCUAACUACGUG